UCUUGGUUCUAUUUUGUUGGUUUCUAGAAUUAAGAUAAUGAUUAAUAGGGACAAUUGAGGGCAUUCGUAUCAACACGUCAGAGGUGGAAUUCUUGGAUUGUGUUGCGACGAACUACUGCGAAAGCAUUUGCCAAGGAUGUUUUCAUUGAUCAAGAACGAAAGUAAGGGGAUCGAAGACGAUUAGAUACCGUCGUAGUCUUUACCAUAAACUAUGCCGACUAGAGAUGGGGCAUCGUUCAUUUACGACUUGCUCCGCACCUUAUGAGAUAUCAAAGUCUUUGGGUUCCGAGGGGAGUAUGGUCGCAAGACUGAAACUUAAAGGAAUUGACGGAAGGGCACCACCAGGAGUGGAGCCUGCGGCUUAAUUUGACUCAACGCGGGGAAACUCACCAGGUCCAGACAUAAUAAGGAUUGACAGAUUGAUAGCUCUUUCUUGAUUUUAUGGGUGGUGGUGCAUGGCCGUUCUUAGUUCGUGGAGUGAUUUGUCUGCUUAAUUGCGUUAACGAGCGAGACCUUAACCUGCUAAAUAGGAGCGCCUAUCUCCGGAUAAGCGUCUUUCUUCUUAGAGGGACUUUAUGCGUUUCAGCAUGAGGAAGUUUGAGGCUAAAACAGGUCUGUGAUGCCCUUCGAUGUUCUGGGCUGCACGCGCGCUACACUGAUGCGUUCAACGAGUGUACAACCUUGCCCGAUAGGGUUGGGUAACCUUUUGAACACGCAUCGUGAUGGGGAUAGAUUAUUGCAAUUA
rnacentral:rRNA from 1 species